rnacentral:rRNA from 1 species
GCAGCCGCCCGGUAAAACGUAGGGUGCGAGCGUUAAUCGGAAUUACUGGGCGUAAAGCGAGCGCAGACGGUUAUUUAAGCGGGAUGUGAAAUCCCCGGGCUUAACCUGGGAACUGCGUUCUGAACUGGAUAGCUAGAGUGUGUCAGAGGGGGGUAGAAUUCCACGUGUAGCAGUGAAAUGCGUAGAGAUGUGGAGGAAUACCGAUGGCGAAGGCAGCCCCCUGGGAUAACACUGACGUUCAUGCUCGAAAGCGUGGGUAGCAAACAGGAUUAGAUACCCCAGUAGUCCCUGUCUCUUAUACA